UAAGCGAAGGAUUUUUGCCUAAAGAAGCUCGCCUGAUAGUUGGUAGUAAUGGCACCAAGGCCGAUCAGUCUGGUAGGACGAUGACACACUAACUGAGACGGUCCAGUCCUAGGCAGCAGGGGAAUUUCGCAAUGGGAAAGCCUCGGAGCCGCGUGAGAAGACAGUACUGGGUUAAACCUCUUUUCGGAAAAAAGACGUGUAUGAAGAAUGCAUCGGCACUCCAGCAGCCCGGUAAGACAGGAUGCAUGUUAUCCGAAUUGCGUAAAGUCUGUAGGGUUUAAUAGUCAACUGAAAUCGCUUAACUCCAAAACAAGGUCGAAUAUUAGACAAGUA
rnacentral:rRNA from 1 species